rnacentral:rRNA from 1 species
AUGCAUACUUCUCCUUUCAUUGUUGUUGGAAACGUUUCUAAGAUCCCUGUAGCUGCUACCGGCACCGCACGUAUCAUUGAUAGCCCCUUCCAUCUCAACCACAUCCUAUACUCCCCUCACAUCAUUACAAAUUUAAUUUAUGGUCGUCGCUUCACUCGAGAUAACCUUGUUACUGUUGCCUUUGACCCAUUUGGCUUCUCUGUGAAGGACUUGGCAACGGGGACAACUCUGAUUCGGUGCAAUAGUUCAGGCGAGCUUUAUCCUUUCCACUCCAAUAAUGGCAGUGCACGGGACACUCAGGCCCUCUCCGUUCUCGAAGACGGCGACAUAUGGCAUCUCCGAUUAGGGCAUCCUAGCCACGCCUCACUUUCCAUUUUAGCUAAAGAUUUCCUUCCUAAAUGUAAUAAAUCGCCAAUUUCAUCCAUAUGUGGAUCUUGUAAAAUUGGCAAGCAGCCCAGACUACCUUUUCCUACAUAAAACUCAUUUACUACUGCUCCUUUCCAAUUGCUUCACUAUGAUCUUUGGACUUCACCCGUGUGUAGUUUCUCUGGAUUCUAGUACUAUUUGGUUGUAUUGGACGAUUAUACCCACUAUUCCUGGACCUUCCCAUUACGAUGCAAAUCAGACGCCUCCUCGACCCUCCAAUGUUUCUUUGCGUUUGUCCAUACAAAUACAACACUCCCAUACGCUGCCUACAGUGCGAUAAUGGCGGUGAAUUCCUGUCCUCCUCCCUACGCGAAUACUUCUCUCAUACCGGUGUGUCUUUCCGUCUCUCUUGCCCUCACACAUCACCACAGAACGGGAAGGCCGAGAGACUCAUCCGUACAACAAAUGACAUCAUAUGCACACUCGUUGUCCACGCCCACAUGGCUCCUAAAUAUUGGGUGGAAGCCUUGCAUACUGCAACUCACCUCUUAA